UAUGGGUGGUGGUGCAUGGCCGUUCUUAGUUGGUGGAGUGAUUUGUCUGGUUAAUUCCGUUAACGAACGAGACCCCCGCCUGCUAAAUAGUUGGGCGAAUGCUUAGCAUUGGCUGCAGCUUCUUAGAGGGACUUUCGGUGACUAACCGAAGGAAGUUGGGGGCAAUAACAGGUCUGUGAUGCCCUUAGAUGUCCUGGGCCGCACGCGCGCUACACUGACACAAGCAACGAGUCUUCCUUGUCCGAAAGGUCCGGGUAAUCUUGUAAAUUUGUGUCGUGAUAGGGAUAGAUUAUUGCAAUUAUUAAUCUUGAACGAGGAAUUCCUAGUAAAUGCGGGUCAUCAGCUCGCGUUGAUUACGUCCCUGCCCUUUGUACACACCGCCCGUCGCACCUACCGAUUGAAUGAUGAGGUGAAAAUCUCGGACAGAGAUUCGGACACCCUCGGGUGACUUGAUUUUUGGAAGUUAUUAAACCUUUCAUUAGAGAAGUAAGUCUACAUCC
rnacentral:rRNA from 1 species